AGUGAACGCUGGCGGUAGGCCUAACACAUGCAAGUCGAACGGCAGCACAGUAAGAGCUUGCUCUUACGGGUGGCGAGUGGCGGACGGGUGAGGAAUACAUCGGAAUCUACUUUUUCGUGGGGGAUAACGUAUGGAAACUUACGCUAAUACCUCAUACGACCUACGGGUGAAAGCAGGGGAUCUUCGGACCUUGCGCGUUUGGAUGAGCCGAUGUCGGAUUAGCUAGUUGGCGGGGUAAAGGCCCACCAAGGCGACGAUCCGUAGCUGGUCUGAGAGGAUGAUCAGCCACACUGGAACUGAGACACGGUCCAGACUCCUACGGGAGGCAGCAGUGGGGAAUAUUGGACAAAGGGCGCAAGCCUGAUCCAGCCAUACCGCGUGGGUGAAGAAGGCCUUCGGGUUGUAAAGCCCUUUUGUUGGGAAAGAAAAGCAGCAGGUUAAUACCCCGCUGUUCUGACGGUACCCAAAGAAUAAGCACCGGCUAACUUCGUG
rnacentral:rRNA from 1 species